CCAGACACAGAAAUUUGCUGCGGUGAACAAGUUUAUGAUAGAGCUGAUGAUAAACGAAUUUGCUGUGGAAAUGAUUCUGAAUCGAAACAUGGUGUUAUUCAUUCCGUAUCAAAUAUGCGAAAACCUAAAUGUUGUGGAAAUCAAGUUUACUCUUCACUGGAGAAAAAUUGUUACGAUGGUGUGCUUCAAGAUAAUGAAAUAAAACGAGCACACUGGUCGGCAGGGGAUGCGCACUCCUCCAUGGCACUGAUCCCAUCUCCGUG